rnacentral:lncRNA from 1 species
GCCGCCAUCCCGCCAGCAACCGGAGUUCCUCCUCUCCCGCGAGCUCGCGCCCCUGCUUCACCUGCGAGCUCGCGCCACCGUCCCUGACGAUGUCGCCGUCGCUGCACCAGAUCUCCGCCGAGUUGUUGUCGCCCACCACCAUCUGCUACAAUGCAGUCCCGACGCUGACCAACCGAGAGAGGAAGGAGAUCGAAGGAGGUCUAGACACCCAGAUCUGGAAUCGAUCGAGCUCCGUCGCCCCCCUCUGUCCCUGAUGUUGUCCGAGUUGCUACCCUUCGAGCGACGCCGGGGACUCCACCACCGUAGUUGCUGUUUUCGCGGUCGCCGGAGCUUCGGACGCUUGUCACCGUUGCAGCCCUCAGCUAAGCCGACGCCCAGCCCUGUCGCCGAGCCACCGCACGCCUCCGCCUCUGGUCCAACACGCAACACCAGCCCCCGAGCUGCCUCCCCACUGCCCGACGCCGUCUGCGCCGCUGCCCUCCGAACGCCGCUUCCUGCAGCCCGAAGCUGCGACACUGCCGUCGUAAUUCUCGCCGCCUCAAACCGACGCCGUCCUCGCCGUCGCCCUCUAAGCUCGACGCCGUUCGAGCUCUCGCCGCUCGACGCCGCUCCUCAGCCGCAACCCAACGCAGCCCCUGCAGUGCCUCCGCCCGCGACGCAAUCGCCGUCCCUGUUGCUGCUGCUGUCGUCCGCCGCCCAUCGCGCCGCAGUCGCCGAGUCGUCGGCGUCCCGAGCAUCCUCCUCCGGCGCCGCAAAACAGCGGGGGGUGAGAGGAGGCGAACCGGGUCUUGGCCGAGUCGGGCAAAGGUGAAACGGGUAGGGUUUUUGAACAAUUUGGGCUGAGUUUAGGCUUUUUGCUUUUGGGCUUGGGCUAUUUUUGCUUGCGGGCUUAGGGAUUUAAGAACUUGUGGGCUUAGGGAGUUGUGGGCUUCAUUUUUAAAUAAAAGAGAUUGGGCCCGCUGGUUGGGCCCGAUCCGAACCAAAGAAAGGCUCGACCAAGGCUGGUCGGCCGCCCCCCCUAUUUGGACCGAACCCGAUCCGCGUUGACCAAGUCGGGUCGAGCCGAACUCGACUCGGUUCACUUUUUUUUUUUUUUUUUUUUUUUUUUAAAUAAAAAAUUAAUUUAAAAAAAUUAAAUUUAAAAAAAUUAUUAAAAAAAUUAUUAAAAAUAUUAAAAAAUUAAUAAAAAAUUUAAAAAAAUUUAAAAAUUUUGAAAAUCCAAAAUGAUGGGGUUUGGUUAGGAAUUGCUAUGCUUUGCCUUUCUAGUAUAAUUAGACUUUUAUUUGCUUGUAUUUUGAUUAUAUUGUAUGCUUAAUUUGCAUAUCUAAUUAUGUUUAAUUGUACGUGUUUAAUUUUUGCCGCAAUUAAGAUCUUAGUAGCUAUGGUUGUUACUUUAAUGGUUGUGCACUCACAUUAUCACCUCACAUAUUAGUGGAUUGGUAUAAAAUCAAUCCAAACUGUCUGCCAAAUAAUUAUUUUGUUAAAAUGAACAAGAUUAGGUACCGAAAGGGCAUUAAUUGAUCAAUUAAUGUAAUCAAGUCCCCGGCCCUAGAUUCUCUGGUUGCGUAGGAAGUGAGGUACACUCCCAUACCUCACUUGGUUUCUAGCCGACCCCAAUAGACUAAUGGCGACUCCUUUUGUACAAAAAUUCUAAAGAAUAUCCCAAUGUCACGCGGGGUAUGGGCUUGGGAGAGCCCGCGCCUGAUCAUGAGCCUUAGGCCUGUCCUUUAGGCAAUACCCCUAAACCUGUUCCCUCCCCCCGAGGGCAGGUCGCGACAGCUUGACGACUCCAUUGGGGACUUGGUUUUGAACCUUAGAGGACUUAGGCCAAAAUUAAUCUUGUUCAAAAAAAAAAUAUUUUUUUGGCAGCAAGGAUUCCAAGUACGUCCCUAACAUUAAAUGUUUUAAAUGUUUUUGCAGAAUGUGAGGUAUAAGGGGAAGUGUUUGCUCAUAUUUGUCUUGCAUGGAGGUGUUGGAAUGUAUGGUUUAUUUUUUAUAUACGGAGUGUUGUUUGCCUAUAAAUUGUUGUGCAUGUAUAUUUUGUAUUGCACUACACCCUAGCACACACAAUCUGCCGCCAAACCUGGGCCGCAUAGGAUCACUUAGGAUGGUGUUGAGGUGGAUACCACUCCGACUACAAGCAUGUAGUACGAGUCGCCCAUCUCAACCCCGAAAUUUCUUUCUUGAUGUCAGAGGUCCCCACCUUGGUUUGCGAGCAUGUGACAUGGGUUGGUCCUUUGACGAAGCCGGAGUCAUGGGUAAUACGACCUAGCCACGAGCUUGUUGGUUCAGUCCUGUGAUCCCAUGGCUCCAUUUUGGGCUGUAUAAAGUAGAAUUCGAACCACAUUCCAUGUGCAUGUCUAUGUGAUUGAAAAAAAAAAAACAGCAUGAGACAAAUGUCGACACCCAUUGUAAGUAUCAUUUCCCUUUUUAUUUGCUCGUUUUGUAUUGCAUUUUCAUCUUGAAAUUUGUGGAAAUCAAUCGAAUGCCCUUGGUGAUGUAAGCUUAUGAUUGAAAAUUUGACAAUCACUUUUGACAAGUGAGCAUUUGAAUGCAAGUUCUAAGCAUUUUGAUUUGACCCUGUUGAAUACAUGGUUUUGUUUAAAUUUCUAGUUAUGGGCUCAAAAUCAUUUCGAAAAAAAAAAAAACUUUCAAGUUGUGAUUUUAUGUUGGGGCACAAAAAUUGAAAUUGCAUUUUUUAUCAAAUUUUCUCAUUCUCAUGUUUUGGGACUGUAAUGCAAAUCAUUUUGUGUACAAAUUCCUUAAAAUAGAAAUCACUUCAUUUUUCUAGGAGUAAAAUCACAAAUCAAUCUUUCAAAAAUCAAAGACACUUUUGCAUUAGGAAACUUUUGGAAUAAAAGUGGACAUUCGACUGAUGGCCGUGGAUUGAUAAUUUUAAUGAAGUCUUCUCUUAUGAUAAAAUCUUAGCGAAAUACUAAAGUCUUGUAAUAAGGAUUGUGGGGCAUGUAUUGUCGCCUUGAUUUUAUUAUAAGAAGUGACGUCAUUAAAAUAUCAUUUUCUCUCAUACACAUAUUGACAUUGUUGUCUUUUUGCAGGUUAUGCAUGAUGCUCUUUGACAUUCUCGUGGUGACCAUUCGAGAAAGUGAAUUCUAGAGCUAGGACAAGAGUUGUUUUUUAACUUUCAUCUGUAAAAGAGUCUCUUGUAUUUUAUCAGUCUUUAUUCUUGUUAAGAACCAUGUUUUUCUUUUUGAACCUUUAUUGCGAAUCCAAUAGUUGCUUUUGUAAAUCGUGCAACUCAAAUUUUUAAUGAUGGAAUUCAAUUUCAUGAAAAUCAUCAUUUAAAAAAAAAACAAAAGAUAAAAACAAAAACAAAAACAAAAACAAAAAAGAGCAAAUUCAAAAGUGUUUUAAGUGAACUUAUACGUUUACUUUCCAAAAUGAAUUUCACGAAAACGUUGCUUAAUGCCCUCUCUUCACGUAGUCGUUUUCUUGGGCUCAUUGAACUCGAAGAGCAAGCAUGCGUUGAGGUUUCGUCGGUACCAAUUUUCCAUAGAGGUGGAACGAAGUUAAAUUCCAUUAUGAGAAGUUUUGUUAUUCGCAAAUGCCUUAGAUGCCAAAACAACCCAUCAAUCUCGUUCACUUUACAUGAUGAGACAAAUGAAAGGAGUUGUCAAAUAUCCAAAAGAGCAAAUUCAAAGGAAGAGUAAACUAUAUCGAUUUCAAUUAUUCAUUUUUUAUACUGUUUUUUACUUGAUUUUCUUUUCAUUGUCAAGGAGACAUCAAGAGUACCAAGUUUUGUAAUGUUUCAACAAAUGCGAUGGAACAUUAUUAAGUCAUGUUCAUCUUAAACAAAGAAGGAUUAAAAUGAAACGGAGGCGCAAUAUUAUUCCUUCCUCCAUGAGAGAUACAUUGGGAUGUUGAUCGCUCGACUUUGUAAAGGAUGUAACUCGUUCCUAAACUUGAUUUCUCUUUAGUAUAAAAAAUGACAUAUCAUUUUCUUUGGUACAUGACAGACUCGAACGGAACAUAGGUUUGUCAUAUAAAGAGUGGGAGAACAACGUUUGAUUUAAAGAAAAAUCUCUCAUUCAUCAAAAAGGAUGUAUCGUUCCUCAUUUGAAUCUAACUAAGAAUGGAGAUAACUCGUUUCAUCUCUCCUUCUUACAAGGUGAUAUAUAAAAAAAGUUGCACCUUAACCAUAGAAGCAGCGCCUUCCACCAAGGAAUCAGGAAGACAUCAAGCACUUAAAGGCGAAUGCAAGGGAAUGGUAUUGUCGAGUUACCAAAUAUCCACGAAUGUGAAUCCAAGAGAUGUUAGUGCCCAAAAGAUGAAAGCGAAUGAAGGGUAAUAAUGUAUCGUUUCCAACAUUUCAUUCCCUAAAGAUUUUUGCACUAACAUAUUCUUUCACAUUCUUUACAGGGUUACGGGUCACCAUGCCGCAGGUAAGUACCCUUCUUCUCAAUUUUUUUUUUAAAGUAAAAAAAAAAAGAGAAAAAAAUGGAGAAUUUCCAUUACAAAAAAGAACCUUUUGCGCUUUCCUAGAGACAAAAAAAAUGAAAUGAAUAAUUGAGAAAAAAAAUUACAAACCUUUUGAAGAUCCUUUUUAUCCCAAAAUUGUUUUCUCGUUUUGUGAAUUAUUCAUUUUGAAUCAAAUUCCCUAUGGAGAUUGAUCUAUUCAGAUGAUCUCAACAGAGUGAGAUGGAGACGUUAACCAUGCCAAACAAGAAGUGCUUAGGGUGAAGAAAGGCAAGCCCAUUUCCAAACACGUCCUUUAAACACUUUUGAGAGUUGAGUGAAAAGCGAUAUUCUCUUAGGACGAAAGAUUCAUUCGCGUUGAGCACAAAGAUUGAAAUGACAAAAGCGUUUCAUUCAUCAAUCCCAAGUACCAAGCUGACAUCUUGUUACCCUUUUGAGCCGAAUAAAGAUGAUCCUUCAAAGUACCCCUAUUGAGAAUGACCCUACAUUAGGGCAACAUAGGAGGUUACGGUCGUGUUGUAAAGCGAAAGGUUGAGAAAGAUUCUAUUUCUUUCACUUGCAUCAAUCUUCUGGUGAUAGCUUCAAAUGAAUUCUCAUUAGAUCUCGACUUAUCCCAAAGUGAAGAAGAGCAUUUCCUUCUCUACCCAAACACUGAUAUCCAUUGCUUUAACCAAUUUGGUCCUGAUUAUUCAUUUCUGAACCCCAAGCGGUGAUCAUCUCCCUUCACUGGGGCAAGGCAUGAGAAUUGACCAAAUACAAUUGAGAGUCACGAGAAAAUGUGAAAAGCAUCUCGAAAGUCAUAAGAGCUCCAAGAGUUCAAAGAGCAAAAAGUUCUACAAACUAGGGGGCAUGAAAAAGCAGUGUGCCUGGUAAAAGCAAGGCCAAUACCUGUUAAGAAAAAAAAGAAGCCAAAAGUUGCAUCUUAUGUGGAAAAAAAAUUAUCAAGGUCCAAGUGCUUGCGCAAAAAAAAAAAAAAAUUCAUCACAAGAGCAAAGGACAUUAGAGAAAGGAGCAAAGCUCCCAUGCAUAAAAGAUUAGUUAAGGGACUUUCGAGAUGCGUUGUAUUUCAAAAGCCAAAUGAUUUGGAAAUGUCAAGUGACCUGGUCAUGAUGUCAUGAUGAUCACCAACUCUUAAAAACCCUCUUGAAAAUUUUAAGCCUUUCGAGCCUCUCCUAAGCCAACAUUACAACCCUCUUCCGAAGUCUCUUCUGAUUGGGAUGGUUUGAGUGAAAAGAGAAUACCACCAAGAAGCUACUGCUUGAAGGAGUGGAAGUAAUUUUAUCUUGUCUCAUCUUCCAAGCUCUCGACUUGUAAAGCCGAUGAAGAUAGUGACAGAUGUUCCUUUGUUGGCCUCAAAGCAAUAAUUUCUUUGUGUAAGCCCUAAUCGAGCCUAUAUUGCGGUCCUUUCAAAGACCUUUUUGAUCGAUCAGAUUGUGCUCAUUGCGAUGUUUCCGGAAGCCUUCGACGUAGGUUAUGUAAGAUACCUUCAGCAACCAAUUAUCUCCCCACAUGAAUGGAUGGGAUCAAGUAGCCCUUUUAUUGAGAGUGCGUGAGAAACCAUUUCUAACUAAGAAGCUCUAGUUUGGCAUGCUUCAUGAACAUUUUUCUCGAGUCGUAACCGUUCUGAUAGUAACUUGUCUCCUAGAGAAUUUGAUGAUUAAUGAUAUAUCCAUGAGCAAGAUGACAAUUUUGCGUCACAUGAGGUUGAUGAACAUCGAAUGUUUUUCUAAAGCAGUCGGACUUAGCUUGAUUAUUUUGUUCAAUUAUUGCUACAAUAUUACCAAUACAUCUCUUGAUGACGUCUCUAAUGACAUUUGCUCAAGUUGUUUGAUAGGAUUCAUCAGUGAAGCCAUGCAGUUUUCCAAGGGUUUAGCGGGUGCUUCCAUAAAAACCAAAGGUUGAUGGUCAGCCUUAAACCAUGUCGUCUCCAAAGGCUUAUGGUUAACCUUAAACCAUAUCAUCUCCAAGAUUGGUGGGUUCAUCCGUAAACCACGCUUGUCUGCCUCCUAGUCGAAACCCGUUCAUGCACGGUGAGACUAUCAUACCCGGUCAAAACUCUUUUUACACGAUGAGACUUCAGUCAUAUCAUUUCUUAUGACCCGGAGAGCUUUGUAUCCUGGAGUUUUCAUCACUUCUUAUGACCCGGAGAGCUUUGUAUCCUGGAGUCUUCAUCACUUCUUAUGACCCGGAGAGCCUCGUAUCUUGGAGUCUUCCUCAUUUCUCAUGAUCCGGAGAGCUUUGUAUCCGGGAGUCUUCAUCACUUCUCAUGACCCGGAGAGCUUUGUAUCCUGGAGUCUUCAUCACUUCUUAUGACCCGGAGAGCCUUGUAUCCUGGAGUCUUCCUCAUUUCUCAUGACCCGGAGAGCUUUGUAUCCGGGAGUCUUCAUCACUUCUCAUGACCCGAAGAGCUUUGUAUUCUGGAGUCUUCAUCACUUCUUAUGACCCGGAGAAUUUUGUAUCCUGGAGUCUUCAUCACUUCUUAUGACCCGGAGAGUUUUGUAUCCUGGAGUCUUCAUCACUUCUUAUGACCCGGAGAGCUUUGUAUCCUGGAGUCUUCCUCAUUUGUCAUGACCCGGAGAGCCUUGUAUCCUGGAGUCUUCCUCAUUUCUCAUGACCCGGAGAGCUUUGUAUCCUGGAGUCUUCAUCACUUCUCAUGACUCGGAGAGCUUUGUAUCCUGGAGUCUUCAUCACUUCUGAUGACCCGGAGAGUUUUGUAUCCUGGAGUCUUCCUCAUUUCUCAUGACCCGGAGAGCCUUGUAUCCUGGAGUCUUCCUCAUUUCUCAUGACCCGGAGAGCUUUGUAUCUUGGAGUCUUCAUCACUUCUUAUGACCCGGAGAGCCUUGUAUCCUAGAGUCUUCCUCAUUUCUCAUGACCCGGAGAGCUUUGUAUCCUGGAGUCUUCCUCAUUUCUCAUGACCCGUAUCCUGGAGUCUUCCUCCCUUCUCAUGACCCGGAGAGCUUUGUAUCCUGGAGUCUUCAUCACUUCUUAUGACCCGGAGAGCUUUGUAUCCUGGAGUCUUCAUCACUUCUUAUGACCCGGCCUUGUAUCCUGGAGUCUUCCUCAUUUCUCAUGACCCGGAGAGCUUUUGUAGCCCGGAGAGCUUUGUAGCCCGGAGUCAUUCUUCCUAUGACACGGUGUGCUUUGUAGCCCGGAGUCCUUCCUAUGACACGGUGAGCUUUGUAGCCCGGAGAGCUUUUGUAGCCCGGAGAGCUUUGUAACCCGGAGUCCUUCUUAUGACACGGUGAGAUUUGUAGCCCGGAGAGCUUUUGUAGCCCGGAGAGCUUUGUAACCCGGAGUCCUUCUUAUGACACGGUGAGAUUUGUAGCCCGGAGAGCUUUUGUAGCCCAGAGAGCUUUGUAGCCUGGAGUCCUUCUUCUUAUGACACGGUGAGAUUUGUAGCCCAGAGAGCUUUUGUAGCUCGGAGAGCUUUGUAGCCCGGAGUCCUUCUUCCUAUGACACGGUGAGCAUUGUAGCCCGGAGAGCUUUUGUAACUCGGAGAGCUUUGUAGCCUGGAGUCCUUCUUCUUUUGACACGGUGAGCUUUGUAACUCGGAGAGCUUUUGUAGCCCGGAGAGGUUUGUAGCCUGAAGUCCUUUUAUGACACGAUGAGCUUUGUAGCCCGGAGAGCUUUGUAGCCCGGAGUCCUUCUUCCUAUGAUACGGUGUGCUUUAUAGCCCGGAGAGCUUUUGUAGCCCGAAGAGCUUUGUAGACCAGAGUCUUUCUUCCUCUUAUUGACAAGACGCUCUUUCAUAGUUAUGAGUUCUUUCCAUCAACCUAAUACGUGCCUAUGCACCUGGGUCUAUCGUCAAAAUAAUUUAGGUGUCUUUUGUCUUUGAAAGAAACUUCUUCGAGCUCCCAUUCAAAGAGGGGCAGCUGUUGACACCUAAAUUUGCCCAUUUUUCAUUUAGGAUUUAAUUGUCUACAGAAUUAGGAAUUAGUCGUUUAAAAAAAAACGAAAAAAAAACAAACAAAAAAAGAAAACAACAAAAACAACAAAAAAUAGAAAAAAGAAGACAUGGAAGGGGCCGGGCUGGAUUUCGCCUUGGCCCGGCCCAUGCCGCUUUCUCCCUCCUCCAUUUUCGGUGAAACCCUAGCAAUAGCAGGGGGGAGGGGGGAUGGAGACAAAAGGGAGAAGACAACAAGACAGGGGAGGCGGGGAAAAAAGAAAAAGGGACAGAGAGGGAACUGAAGAAGGGAGAGCUAGGCAGAGGGAGAGUGAGCUCGGCAGAGAGAAGAGAGAGAGAGAACACAGGGGAGAAACGAGGGAGGAAGGAGGAGGGGUCUCCGACGCCGUCCGAGCCUCCUCACGUCGUUGCCGCUCCACCCGAGUCGACCGUCGUCCCGCCAGCAGCCGGAGUUCCUCCUCUCCCGCGAGCUCGCGCCCCUGCUCACCUGCGAGCUCGCGCCGCCGUCCCCGACGUGUCGCCGUCGCUGCACCAGAUCUCCGCCGAGUCGUUGUCGCCCACCACCAUCUGCUACAAUGUAGUCCCGACGCUGACCAACCAAGAGAGGAAGGAGAUCGGAGGAGGUCUAGACACCCAGAUCUGAGGACGAGGGUCGGGCAAGGGCCAGAUCUGGAAUCGAUCGAGCUCCGUCGCCCCCCCUUAUCCCUGAUGUUGUCCGAGUUGCUACCCUUCGAGCGACGCCGGGGACUCCACCACCGUAGUUGCUGUUUUCGCGGUCGUCGGAGAUUCGGACGCUUGUCGCCGUUGCAGCCCUCAGCCAAGUCGACGCCCAGCCCUGUCGCCAAGCCACCACACGCAUCCGCAUCUGGUCCAACACGCAGCACCAGCCCCCGAGCCGCCUCCUCGCUGCCCGACGCCGUCUGCGCCGCUGCCCUCCGAAUGCCGCUUCUUG